UAAGACGAACUGUCCUAACGUUGUUCGGAAUCACUGGGCUUAAAGGGCGCGUAGGCGGUCCGACAAGUCAGGGGUGAAAUCCUGCAGCUUAACUGCAGAAGUGCCUUUGAUACUGUCGGUCUUGAGGGAGAUAGGGGUGUGCGGAACUCACAGUGGAGCGGUGAAAUGCGUUGAUAUUGUGAGGAACGCCGGAGGCGAAAGCGGCGCACUGGAUCUCUUCUGACGCUGAGGCGCGAAAGCUAGGGGAGCAAACGGG
rnacentral:rRNA from 1 species